GGCACAGUAGUCUAAUGGUAUGACUCCUGCUAUGUAAUGUCCUGCUGUUUUCAGACAGAGAGUGGGUGAUCUGGGUUCAAUUCCUGGCUGUGCCG